rnacentral:rRNA from 1 species
CCUACGGUGGGCAGCAGUGGGGAAUAUUGGGCAAUGGGCGCAAACCUGACCCAGCAACGCCGCGUGAAGGAAGAAGGCUUUCGGGUUGUAAACUUCUUUUCUCAGGGACGAAGCAAGUGACGGUACCUGAGGAAUAAGCCACGGCUAACUACGUGCCAGCAGCCGCGGUAAUACGUAGGUGGCAAGCGUUAUCGGGAUUUAUUGGGUGUACAGGGCGUGUAGGCGGGACUGCAAGUCAGAUGUGAAAUCCACGGGCUCAACCUGUGGCCUGCAGUUGAAACUGGCGUUCUUGAGGACUGGGGAGGCAGGCGGAAUUCCUAGUGUAGCGGUGAAAUGCGUAGAUAUGAGGAAGAACACCAGUGGCGAAGGCGGUCUGCUGGAGAGCAACUGACGCUGAGGCGCGAAAGCGUGGGGAGCAAACAGGAUUAGAUACCCUUGUAGUC